AGGAAUCUGCCUGGUAGUGGGGGAUAACGUCCGGAAACGGACGCUAAUACCGCAUACGUCCUACGGGAGAAAGCAGGGGACCUUCGGGCCUUGCGCUAUCAGAUGAGCCUAGGUCGGAUUAGCUAGUUGGUGGGGUAAUGGCUCACCAAGGCGACGAUCCGUAACUGGUCUGAGAGGAUGAUCAGUCACACUGGAACUGAGACACGGUCCAGACUCCUACGGGAGGCAGCAGUGGGGAAUAUUGGACAAUGGGCGAAAGCCUGAUCCAGCCAUGCCGCGUGUGUGAAGAAGGUCUUCGGAUUGUAAAGCACUUUAAGUUGGGAGGAAGGGCAGUAAAUUAAUACUUUGCUGUUUUGACGUUACCGACAGAAUAAGCACCGGCUAACUCUGUGCCAGCAGCCGCGGUAAUACAGAGGGUGCAAGCGUUAAUCGGAAUUACUGGGCGUAAAGCGCGCGUAGGUGGUUCGUUAAGUUGGAUGUGAAAUCCCCGGGCUCAACCUGGGAACUGCAUUCAAAACUGACGAGCUAGAGUAUGGUAGAGGGUGGUGGAAUUUCCUGUGUAGCGGUGAAAUGCGUAGAUAUAGGAA
rnacentral:rRNA from 1 species